UCGUCCUUGAAAUACGAAAUGCGCUCGGAAUCGGAGUCCUUCGUUCACAUUCGUCGCACAUCCGAGAGCUCACUCAACGACUUGAAGAUUGAGGGGAGAGGAAGGAGAGUAAGCAGGGUGGCCGGAGAAUCUGGGGGAAUCUAGCGAUAGUGCGUGAUACGUUGUCGUCUCAGUCGGAGUCGUUUGUCGUUUCGCGACGUUAAAAAAACAGUGUACAUAUACGUCACAUACGUCGCGGUGUGUGUCGAGUGUCGUUGCGUCUUAUCAGUAUCACUGGAAGAGAAAAAAGAAGAGAAAGAGAGAGAGAUAGAGAGUGCGACUUAAAUUGUCCGCGAUCGCAGUGAUCGCGCGAGAAGCGUUUGAAGCCGGUGUUGUUACGUAGUACGGACUUUAUUGCGCGUUUCGCCUCGCUUCGCUUCAUCUCGCCUAGUUUCGUCCCAUCUCGUCUCAUUUCGUUUCGUUUCGUUUCGUUUCGUUCCACGGCUCCGGUUGCUCACCGUCUCGUCUCAUCGAAACACGCAAAAGUGCAUGCUACCGUAGAUUGACAACGAAUCUACACUCCUCGCGACACACGGCGGAGGAUGUUGGAUCGCGACACGGCGAUACAUCUCGUCGCCGGAGGAGUGGCUGGUACUGCAGGAGCGAUAGUAACUUGUCCACUUGAAGUAGUAAAGACCCGAUUGCAGUCAUCGUCUUCUGGUUUUCAUCCACCUCCAAUAAGUAAAGAAUUUACAUCUGGCCAUCCAACAUGCAAAGGUUCACCGACACCCGAGCAACGUAGGAGGUUGUGCACUGGAUAUCCUAGGUAUUCCAGUCACUUCGUAGCUCUUUCACAUUUUGGUGUUUCGACCUCACCUCCAGAUUCUUCUCGAAACGCAUUGGGCAUUUAUCAAUGCUUAAGGUACAUCAUCAAGAAUGAGGGUGCACGAGGACUGUUUAAAGGUCUUGGUCCAAAUCUCAUUGGUGUGGCACCCUCCAGAGCUAUAUACUUUUGCGCGUACUCCAAGAGCAAAGUUGCGUUCAAUGCGAUUCUACCUCCCGAUACUCCGAUCGUCCAUGUUUUCUCUGCGUCCUGCGCUGGUUUCACCGCGUGUACAUUGACAAAUCCGAUUUGGUUCAUAAAAACCAGACUACAGCUGGACCACCGGUCACAAAAAGUCACAGCGAUAGAAUGCACGCGGAGGAUAUAUCGACAAUCGGGUAUCCUGGGAUUCUACAAAGGUAUCGUGGCAUCCUACAUAGGCAUAAGUGAGACUGUGAUACACUUUGUGAUAUAUGAAGCUGUGAAGGCGUGGCUAGCUACACAUAGAUCGCGUGCUUCUCAAACAGAUGACAGGAAGACGUUCCGUGAUUUCAUCGAAUUUAUGGCUGCAGGUUCAUUUUCAAAAACGAUAGCGUCAACUAUUGCCUAUCCUCAUGAGGUCGCAAGAACCCGGUUGCGAGAAGAGGGUACCAAAUAUCGCACAUUUUGGCAAACCUUGAAUACUGUAUGGACGGAAGAGGGCACAAAGGGUCUCUAUCGAGGUCUUGGCACUCAGCUGAUUCGGCAGAUUCCGAACACCGCUAUUAUAAUGGCAACAUAUGAAGCGGUAGUAUAUAUAUUGACCCGACAUUUCCGGCCAGUUACGGUGGCGACAUCCAACACUGAUGUGACAUCAGAAUUCUAUAACGAGGCUAAAGCGAAGAGAGAGCUGGCCUAGGAUUUGCUUACGGCCCCCGAGUAAAGGGCCACCUAUCAACCAUUUCCCCUUCUCCAGUAGGCGAAUACUGCACGUAUUUGGAGCAGCAUCCUAAGAUCUAAUCGCACAUCUAGGCACAUCGAGAGCAGCUGGAAACGCGUUCGGUGCCCUAAUCAUUGCUCCAGGGGUACUCAAAAAGGUACCAGCUCUUUGGUCGCACUGUGCUCUAAAAGUAUAGCAAAAAGUAGUCCUUCCUCCUUUCAGAUAGCAUGUACAUAUCCAGACAUGGACCCGCUGUAUCUCGCAGGGAAAGAAAAGGGGAAUUGAGGAAAGCAGAUUUUAUUUAGCGUCGGAUAGAAGGCUGAGACUUCGCUUCUCGUUCGCGAAAAUGUUGUUAAUUUGGGAUGAUUUUGAAUGAAAAUAUAACUAUUAUCAACGAAAAUAGUAUCUACUAUUAACAGAUGCACGACAAAUAAGUCAUCUCAUUUGAUCUUUCUCAAAAAUGAAGCCUAAAAGAGAUAUCUGAGAGAAAUAUGCGACUUCUAGAACAUCGUAUGUGAUUGAUAUGUUAAUUGUUAACAUCUUAUUGAGACUUCUAUGAUACCGUUGUCAAUUGUAAAAUAUGUAUGCUCCAGGAAAACAGAUUCUAAGUGCCAGGCUGUUAUUAAUCGCAUAGUCAUUUGCAUAAGAAUAUCGUGCACCUCUUAAAGGAUCGCGUAAGUAUAUGAGAACUGGAUGUGUGUGCCAAGUUGUAAAGCAUGUAUAGAUAUUAGAUAGACGGUUAUUGGAAUAAGCAAUGAAUUUUUCUAAUGGAGAGAACAAUUGACAAAAGAUGUAAAGAGAAUGAGAGAGGAGAGCGAGAGAGAGAGAGAGAGAAAGAGAAUGAAAGAAAUAUUUCGCGAGCGUUUCGUUAAAGACUGACGUUGUACAAUUACUUAGUGUAGCGUGAGAAAAUCAAUGCGUAUAUAAAUAUAUGAAAGAUCCUGUAAUGUAAUUGCGUGGUGGUGUCUUUAAAAACGGAAAAUUAAUUUAAGUUUCGGUCAAUAUAUAUGAAAUAUCACAAGUGCAUCUUUAUUUUUCUAAAUAAAGCAUUUUUAUUUGUUUCUUACCUUUCUCAUUUGUGUUCGAAUAGGUCGCUGAAAUUCAAUGAGAUUCAUAGCAAACGUAAAUCAAACUUAUCGAAGUUCUACAAAGAGAAAAGCCGUUACUAAAUAAUGUAAAAUUACGACUUUCUUGAAAACGAAGCCUCAUACAUGUAAAAAAUUUAUUGUACAUUUUUGAUUUAUUUUUUUAUAUAGAAUUAUCUUCCCGAUUGUAUUAUUGACU